AAUCCAUAGGUUAAUGAGGCGAACCGGGGGAACUGAAACAUCUAAGUACCCCGAGGAAAAGAAAUCAACCGAGAUUCCCCCAGUAGCGGCGAGCGAACGGGGAGGAGCCCAGAGCCUGAAUCAGCAUGUGUGUUAGUGGAAGCGUCUGGAAAGGCGCGCGAUACAGGGUGACAGCCCCGUACACAAAAGCGCAUGUGCUGUGAGCUCGAUGAGUAGGGCGGGACACGUGGUAUCCUGUCUGAAUAUGGGGGGACCAUCCUCCAAGGCUAAAUACUCCUGACUGACCGAUAGUGAACCAGUACCGUGAGGGAAAGGCGAAAAGAACCCCGGCGAGGGGAGUGAAAAAGAACCUGAAACCGUGUACGUACAAGCAGUGGGAGCACCCUUUGGGUGUGACUGCGUACCUUUUGUAUAAUGGGUCAGCGACUUAUAUUCUGUAGCAAGGUUAACCGAAUAGGGGAGCCGGAGGGAAACCGAGUCUUAAUUGGGCGUUAAGUUGCAGGGUAUAGACCCGAAACCCGGUGAUCUAGCCAUGGGCAGGUUGAAGGUUGGGUAACACUAACUGGAGGACCGAACCGACUAAUGUUGAAAAAUUAGCGGAUGACCUGUGGCUGGGGGUGAAAGGCCAAUCAAACCGGGAGAUAGCUGGUUCUCCCCGAAAGCUAUUUAGGUAGCGCCUCGUGAAUUCAUCUCCGGGGGUAGAGCACUGUUUCGGCUAGGGGGCCAUCCCGGCUUACCAACCCGAUGCAAACUGCGAAUACCGGAGAAUGUUAUCACGGGAGACACACGGCGGGUGCUAACGUCCGUCGUGAAGAGGGAAACAACCCAGACCGCCAGCUAAGGUCCCAAAGUCAUGGUUAAGUGGGAAACGAUGUGGGAAGGCCCAGACAGCCAGGAUGUUGGCUUAGAAGCAGCCAUCAUUUAAAGAAAGCGUAAUAGCUCACUGGUCGAGUCGGCCUGCGCGGAAGAUGUAACGGGGCUAAACCAUGCACCGAAGCUGCGGCAGCGACACUGUGUGUUGUUGGGUAGGGGAGCGUUCUGUAAGCCUGUGAAGGUGUGUCGUGAGGCAUGCUGGAGGUAUCAGAAGUGCGAAUGCUGACAUAAGUAACGAUAAAGCGGGUGAAAAGCCCGCUCGCCGGAAGACCAAGGGUUCCUGUCCAACGUUAAUCGGGGCAGGGUGAGUCGACCCCUAAGGCGAGGCCGAAAGGCGUAGUCGAUGGGAAACGGGUUAAUAUUCCCGUACUUGGUGUUACUGCGAAGGGGGGACGGAGAAGGCUAUGUUGGCCGGGCGACGGUUGUCCCGGUUUAAGCGUGUAGGUGUGUGUUCCAGGUAAAUCCGGUUCACUUUAACACUGAGGCGUGACGACGAGGCACUACGGUGCUGAAGCAACAAAUGCCCUGCUUCCAGGAAAAGCCUCUAAGCAUCAGGUAACAUCAAAUCGUACCCCAAACCGACACAGGUGGUCAGGUAGAGAAUACCAAGGCGCUUGAGAGAACUCGGGUGAAGGAACUAGGCAAAAUGGUGCCGUAACUUCGGGAGAAGGCACGCUGACACGUAGGUGAAGUGAUUUACUCAUGGAGCUGAAGUCAGUCGAAGAUACCAGCUGGCUGCAACUGUUUAUUAAAAACACAGCACUGUGCAAACACGAAAGUGGACGUAUACGGUGUGACGCCUGCCCGGUGCCGGAAGGUUAAUUGAUGGGGUCAGCGCAAGCGAAGCUCCUGAUCGAAGCCCCGGUAAACGGCGGCCGUAACUAUAACGGUCCUAAGGUAGCGAAAUUCCUUGUCGGGUAAGUUCCGACCUGCACGAAUGGCGUAAUGAUGGCCAGGCUGUCUCCACCCGAGACUCAGUGAAAUUGAACUCGCUGUGAAGAUGCAGUGUACCCGCGGCAAGACGGAAAGACCCCGUGAACCUUUACUAUAGCUUGACACUGAACAUUGAGCCUUGAUGUGUAGGAUAGGUGGGAGGCUUUGAAGUGUGGACGCCAGUCUGCAUGGAGCCGACCUUGAAAUACCACCCUUUAAUGUUUGAUGUUCUAACGUGGACCCGUUACCCGGGUUGCGGACAGUGUCUGGUGGGUAGUUUGACUGGGGCGGUCUCCUCCUAAAGAGUAACGGAGGAGCACGAAGGUUGGCUAAUCCUGGUCGGACAUCAGGAGGUUAGUGCAAUGGCAUAAGCCAGCUUGACUGCGAGCGUGACGGCGCGAGCAGGUGCGAAAGCAGGUCAUAGUGAUCCGGUGGUUCUGAAUGGAAGGGCCAUCGCUCAACGGAUAAAAGGUACUCCGGGGAUAACAGGCUGAUACCGCCCAAGAGUUCAUAUCGACGGCGGUGUUUGGCACCUCGAUGUCGGCUCAUCACAUCCUGGGGCUGAAGUAGGUCCCAAGGGUAUGGCUGUUCGCCAUUUAAAGUGGUACGCGAGCUGGGUUUAGAACGUCGUGAGACAGUUCGGUCCCUAUCUGCCGUGGGCGCUGGAGAACUGAGGGGGGCUGCUCCUAGUACGAGAGGACCGGAGUGGACGCAUCACUGGUGUUCGGGUUGUCAUGCCAAUGGCACUGCCCGGUAGCUAAAUGCGGAAGAGAUAAGUGCUGAAAGCAUCUAAGCACGAAACUUGCCCCGA
rnacentral:rRNA from 4 species